rnacentral:lncRNA from 1 species
CCGAUGACAACAAUUUGUUGAAUUAGACUACUUCUCAAGGCAGCUUCCUCAAUCUCUACCGGUUCAACGUUUUCCCCUUGUAAAAAAUGCCGACUUGCACAGCGUUAGGGAAAUGAAAUUACAUUCAGACACAUAGGAGUAGAUUUCAACAGAAAAUAAAGACACAUGUGUAUAAACUCAUAUGAUCGAGAUGUUUGGCAAGAUUCGAUUAAAUACAUGUCCCUCAACCUGGUAGUUUGGGCUCACUAGUUUUGUGACAAGAAACGUUUCUUUAGCGCAGUGUUUAAUUACAUAGUCCAUGGAACUGAAACUAGGAAGACAUUUCAAGUUGUUAGCUAGCGGAUCCAUGACAAUGUUGCAGAAGAAAAUUAAGCUUUUGGUAUACCUGUUAAAAGAACGAUAGUGUCCUUGGCACGUCCUUCAAGAACAACC